rfam:Heterocephalus glaber contig17365, whole genome shotgun sequence.
GUCUAUGGCCAUACCACUCUGUACGCAUCUGAUCUUGUCUGAUCUCGGAAGCUAAGCAGGGUCGGUCCUGGUUAGUAGUUGAAUGGGAGAAAUAAGAAAGGAAAUAUUACAA